AGAGUUUGAUCCUGGCUCAGGACGAACGCUGGCGGCGCGCCUAACACAUGCAAGUCGAACGGAGUUAUUUUCUUCACUCCGAGCUUUUUGCCAGUUAGCCGGAGCGGCAAUCGGUUUUGCCCAGCAUAAAAAGCAAAACCGAUUUAGGCUCAUAAAGUAAGACUAACACAGAGGGCAGAGAGUUGGGAGUGAAGAAAAUAACUUAGUGGCGAACGGGUGAGUAACGCGUGAGUAACCUGCCCUGGAGUGGGGGACAACAGUUGGAAACGACUGCUAAUACCGCAUAAGCCCACGAUCCGGCAUCGGAUUGAGGGAAAAGGAUUUAUUCGCUUCAGGAUGGACUCGCGUCCAAUUAGCUAGUUGGUGAGGUAACGGCCCACCAAGGCGACGAUUGGUAGCCGGACUGAGAGGUUGAACGGCCACAUUGGGACUGAGACACGGCCCAGACUCCUACGGGAGGCAGCAGUGGGGGAUAUUGCACAAUGGGGGAAACCCUGAUGCAGCGACGCCGCGUGGAGGAAGAAGGUUUUCGGAUUGUAAACUCCUGUCGUUAGGGACGAUAAUGACGGUACCUAACAAGAAAGCACCGGCUAACUACGUGCCAGCAGCCGCGGUAAAACGUAGGGUGCAAGCGUUGUCCGGAAUUACUGGGUGUAAAGGGAGCGCAGGCGGGAAGACAAGUUGGAAGUGAAAUCUAUGGGCUCAACCCAUAAACUGCUUUCAAAACUGUUUUUCUUGAGUAGUGCAGAGGUAGGUGGAAUUCCCGGUGUAGCGGUGGAAUGCGUAGAUAUCGGGAGGAACACCAGUGGCGAAGGCGGCCUACUGGGCACCAACUGACGCUGAGGCUCGAAAGCAUGGGUAGCAAACAGGAUUAGAUACCCUGGUAGUCCAUGCCGUAAACGAUGAUUACUAGGUGUUGGAGGAUUGACCCCUUCAGUGCCGCAGUUAACACAAUAAGUAAUCCACCUGGGGAGUACGACCGCAAGGUUGAAACUCAAAGGAAUUGACGGGGGCCCGCACAAGCAGUGGAGUAU
rnacentral:rRNA from 1 species